rnacentral:rRNA from 1 species
GACGAACGCUGGCGGCGUGCCUAAUACAUGCAAGUAGAACGCUGAAGGAGGAGCUUGCUUCUCUGGAUGAGUUGCGAACGGGUGAGUAACGCGUAGGUAACCUGCCUGGUAGCGGGGGAUAACUAUUGGAAACGAUAGCUAAUACCGCAUAAGAGUAGAUGUUGCAUGACAUUUGCUUAAAAGGUGCAAUUGCAUCACUACCAGAUGGACCUGCGUUGUAUUAGCUAGUUGGUGAGGUAACGGCUCACCAAGGCGACGAUACAUAGCCGACCUGAGAGGGUGAUCGGCCACACUGGGAGUGAGACACGGCCCAGACUCCUACGGGAGGCAGCAGUAGGGAAUCUUCGGCAAUGGACGGAAGUCUGACCGAGCAACGCCGCGUGAGUGAAGAAGGUUUUCGGAUCGUAAAGCUCUGUUGUAAGAGAAGAACGAGUGUGAGAGUGGAAAGUUCACACUGUGACGGUAUCUUACCAGAAAGGGACGGCUAACUACGUG